AUUUAGUGUUUGAUUAUGAUUUAUUUAGGAUUUAGGAUUUGAUUAGGAUUUGGUUUAGGAUUUAGGAUUUGAAUUAGAAUUUGGUUUAGAGUUUAGGAUUUGGAUUAGGAUUUGGUUAGAUUUUGAUAAAGGAUUUAGGAUUUGGAUUAGGAUUUGAUUUAGUAUGUAGGAUUUGGAUUAGGAUUUGAUUUAGUAUUUAGGAUUUGGUUAGGAUUUGAUUUAGGAUUUAGGGUUUGAUUUAGGAUUUAGGAUUUGGAUUAGGAUUUGAUUAGGAUUUGAUUUAGGGUUUAGGGUUUGAUUUAGGAUUUGGUUGGGAUUUGGUUUAAGGUUUGUUUAGGAUUUUAUUUAAGGUUUAUUUAGGGUUUGAUUUAGGAUUUAGGAUUUUAUUAGGAUUUAAGAUUUAAUUAGUUUUGGCCUAAAGAUUGAAUGAAAUUCUAUAGGAUUUUAACUAGAAUUAAAUUAAGAUUGAAUCGAGAUGUAUUUGAGUGUUAUUUGUGAUCAUUCUAAUAUUUCUUUAAGAAUUCUUAUUCUUUGUUUGAAAUUUCUUUGAAGUUUUUUUGAAUUUUAUUAAGCUUGCUUAGCAUUAUUAUAGUCUAAUUAGAGCAUUGUUAGUAUUCUUUUAGAAUUAGGAUUUUGUUAUUACAAUUUCCAUUCUUCCUUCUACAUCCAAGUGCCCUGAGCAUUCUCAAGCAAGACUUCACAUAUUACGACACCAUAUUAAAGAAGUUCUUUAAUUUAGCCUUAGAAUUAUACAUCUAACUUUAUUAAGCUACAUGCAAAAUAACAAAUUAUUUUCCAAACAAAAUCUUAUUAUUUGGUGACUAAUUCUAUUUCUUUUUAUGAUAGAAAUAGCUAAAAGAAAUGUUCUUUGUUGAAGCUUGUGCAAGAGUAUAAGAUCUUGCCAUACAUU
rnacentral:lncRNA from 1 species